rnacentral:rRNA from 1 species
UUCUGGUUGAUCCUGCCGGACCUGACUGCUAUCGGAUUGAUACUAAGCCAUGCGAGUCAUUGUAGCAAUACAAGGCAGACGGCUCAGUAACGCGUAGUCAACCUAACCUAUGGACGGGAAUAACCUCGGGAAACUGAGAAUAAUGCCCGAUAGAACACUAUACCUGGAAUGGUUUGUGUUCUAAAUGAUUUAUCGCCGUAGGAUGGGACUGCGGCCUAUCAGUUUGUUGGUGAGGUAAUGGCCCACCAAGACUAUUACAGGUACGGGCUCUGAGAGGAGUAGCCCGGAGAUGGGUACUGAGACACGGACCCAGGCCCUAUGGGGCGCAGCAGGCGAGAAAACUUUGCAAUGUGCGAAAGCACGACAAGGUUAAUCCGAGUGAUUUGUGCUAAACGAAUCUUUUGUUAGUCCUAGAACCACUAACGAAUAAGGGGUGGGCAAGUUCUGGUGUCAGCCGCCGCGGUAAAACCAGCACCUCAAGUGGUCAGGAUGAUUAUUGGGCCUAAAGCAUCCGUAGCCGGCUCUGUAAGUUUUCGGUUAAAUCUGUACGCUUAACGUACAGGCUGCCGGGAAUACUGCAGAGCUAGGGAGUGGGAGAGGUAGACGGUACUCGGUAGGAAGGGGUAAAAUCCUUUGAUCUAUUGAUGACCACCUGUGGCGAAGGCGGUCUACCAGAACACGUCCGACGGUGAGGGAUGAAAGCUGGGGGAGCAAACCGGAUUAGAUACCCGGGUAGUCCCAGCUGUAAACUAUGCAAACUCAGUGAUGCAUUGACUUGUGGUCAAUGCAGUGCUGCAGGGAAGCCGUUAAGUUUGCCGCCUGGGAAGUACGUACGCAAGUAUGAAACUUAAAGGAAUUGGCGGGGGAGCACCACAAGGGGUGAAGCCUGCGGUUCAAUUGGAUUCAACGCCGGAA